UAUCUCGUGGCCACGCCUGUUCGAGGGUUGG
rnacentral:rRNA from 1 species